AUCGCUUCUUGGCCUUUUGGCUAAGAUCAAGUGCAGUAUCUGUUCUUAUCAGUUUAAUAAGAGAGAGAUACAGAGAAAAUUAUACCGAGA
rnacentral:snRNA from 1 species